rnacentral:rRNA from 1 species
ACGGAGGCAGCAGUGGGGAAUAUUGGACAAUGGGGGAAACCCUGAUCCAGCGACGCCGCGUGAGUGAAGAAGUAUUUCGGUAUGUAAAGCUCUAUCAGCAAGGAAGAAAAUGACGGUACUUGACUAAGAAGCCCCGGCUAACUACGUGCCAGCAGCCGCGGUAAUACGUAGGGGGCAAGCGUUAUCCGGAUUUACUGGGUGUAAAGGGAGCGUAGACGGCAUAGCAAGUCUGAAGUGAAAUGCGUGGGCUCAACCCAUGAACUGCUUUGGAAACUGUUAAGCUAGAGUGCAGGAGAGGUAAGUGGAAUUCCUAGUGUAGCGGUGAAAUGCGUAGAUAUUAGGAGGAACACCAGUGGCGAAGGCGGCUUACUGGACUGUAACUGACGUUGAGGCUCGAAAGCGUGGGGAGCAAACAGGAUUAGAUACCCUGGUA